UACGCAGGGGGCUAGCGUUGCUCGGAAUCACUGGGCGUAAAGCGCACGUAGGCGGCUUCUUAAGUCAGGGGUGAAAUCCUGGAGCUCAACUCCAGAACUGCCUUUGAUACUGAGAAGCUUGAGUCCGGGAGAGGUGAGUGGAACUGCGAGUGUAGAGGUGAAAUUCGUAGAUAUUCGCAAGAACACCAGUGGCGAAGGCGGCUCACUGGCCCGGUACUGACGCUGAGGGGCGAAAGCGUGGGGAGCAAACAGG
rnacentral:rRNA from 1 species